GGGGUGGACAGGGCAUGUGGCCCUGCAGGAAACACUGGAUUAUUCAUGGCUGUUUACUCAAAUCCAGGUGGAAAUGCUCAACUGCAGGACCGCCAGGCCUGGGGUUUUUAAUGGCAGCUUCAAGUUGAUGCUGAAAGUUUGUGUUAAAAAAAAAACCAAGAGAUUUGAAAACAUGAGCCUCAGGUGGGACUUUCAAGUCUGGCGUUCGUGGAGGCGGAUGAAACUCGGAAGACUUUGUGGGUCGGGCAGGUCGCUGUGCUUGCAAGGAGGGAAGGAGAGUUUCAGCUCAAAGCGAGGGCUGCUAUUCCUUCUCUCUCUCUCUCUUCCUUUUCUCUUUUCUUCUCCCAGCUGGCCAGGUUGGAAAAGGACUUCUGAGACUUGGGUAGGACUAAUGAAUGGUGCUCCACUGCAUUUGCUUCACCGAGAACAAUUCAAGAGACAACAGGAGCCCGGCAUUUGAUGAGGGCAAGAAAUGGGAGAAAAUGGGAAGAGGCAAAAACCCUGGUCAUGUCCCUUUCAGCCCGCCUCUAGGAUGCCUGGCUCUUUGCUGAUACAAAAGACGCCCAAGCAAGGGGAGCCCCCAGCGCCCGCAACUGCUUCCUGCUCAAGACUUGACCCAUAAUUAUAAUCCCUUUCCUUUGAUUUUUCUCUGCGAAAACAGCAACAUUCCAGCUAGGCUUUGAGCUGUAAAAAAAAAAAAAGAAAAAGAAAAAACAGCACCGUGCAGAGCUUAAGAGAUUUAUAAACACGGUGAAAAAUCAGUCUUGUUUCCCCACAGCUGCUUUCCCUAGGUGUGUGGAGGGAGGAGGGGAGUCACAAGUGGGAGUAGGCAGGGUACAGAUGUGCAAGACACCUGGGUGUGCAUGGACCAGAGCAGAAGGAAGCCAAGAACAUGACUCAGCUGCCAAAAGCCUAGCUCACCGGCUCUGGUGGCAAUGAGGAAGGUACAUACAUACACACAUAGGUGUCAUAUGCAGGUGCCCCAGGCGCCUGUCUAAAGGCUUGAUAGAGAAACAGAAGCCAGAAGGAGAGGGAUGAACCUCCUCUGGACUUCCUGCCAUGGAGGGACUGAAUAAGUCAGGGAGACGUCCAUCAGUGUGCCUGACGAUGUUGAAGUUCCACCAUUCAAGGUCAAUUGAGAGUACCCCAGCUUUGGGGGCUGGCAAGGGCUCCUGAAGUCAUCAGGCCCAAUCCUUUACUCUGGAAGUGGUUUGUGGCCUAUUUUGCAGAGAAGUCAUCUGGGUGGCAGGACGGGGGAGCGGGAAUUAGCACUCUGAUCCGUAGCCCCUGUUCACCUUGGAACCCUGCCUUUGCCUAUGGAGUGCUUUGGUGUUAGAUAUCUUGGGGAAAAUGUGGAUGGGGCUUUGGGGACUCAGAGCUCCUGCUGCAUCCAGAGGCCUGGCCUGGAGGACUCCUCCUAGGAGGCGAGGGCAGCUGGGGGUGCCCAGCUCUCUGGGUGCAGGCUCAAGGCAGGUGCCUGAGGGACUCUUGUUCUGGCUGGAGCUAGGAGGGCCAGGGGGACCAAGGUGAAUAUUGCCUCUGGGAAGAGGCAAGGUGUGGUCAGAGCUGGGGCAGGGCUGGAUACAGAGCACUGAGGAAGAGGGUUGUUUUAGCAUCUUACUUCUCUGGCUCAGCCAGGCUCAGAGGCCAGGUGGUGUAGGUGUCCUGGGCAGAGAUGAGG
ensembl:lncRNA